rnacentral:tRNA from 1 species
AUUUAAUUAGUUUAAGAAAAAAUUUUAAUUUGUGGAAUUAAAGAUAAAAGUGUUUUUAUUAAAUA